rnacentral:rRNA from 1 species
CAAUAGCGUAUAUUAAAGUUGUUGCAGUUAAAAAGCUCGUAGUUGGAUUUCUGCCUCUGGGGGCUGGUCCGCCUAACGGUGAGCACUGGUUUGCGUGUGUGCUGCUUGUGUGGCAUGCGCGGAGUCCUGGGGGCAUCCUCUCGAAGGCGUGUGGUGCACUUAGGUGUGUGUUGCAUGGAUUCGGGAUCUUUACUUUGAAAAAAUUAGAGUGUUCAAAGCAGGCGAUGUUGCUUGAAUAUAUUAGCAUGGAAUAAUGGAAUAGGACUUUGGUUCUAUUUUGUUGGUUUCUAGGACUGAAGUAAUGAUUAAUAGGGACAGUUGGGGGCAUUAGUAUUUAAUUGUCAGAGGUGAAAUUCUUGGAUUUAUGAAAGACUAACUACUGCGAAAGCAUUUGCCAAGGAUGUUUUCAUUAA